rnacentral:rRNA from 1 species
CGUAGGGACCGAGCGUUGUCCGGAUUCAUUGGGCGUAAAGAGCUCGUAGGCGGCUGCUCAAGUCGAAUGUGAAAACUCGAGGCUCAACCUCGAGCCUGCAUUCGAUACUGGGCGGCUAGAGUCUGGUAGGGGGAUCUGGAAUUCCUGGUGUAGCGGUGGAAUGCGCAGAUAUCAGGAGGAACACCGGUGGCGAAGGCGGGAUCCUGGGCCAGUACUGACGCUGAGGAGCGAAAGCGUGGGGAGCAAACAGGAUUAGAUACCCUGGUAGUCCACGCCGUAAACGAUGGGCGCUAGGUGUGGGAGGUCAUCGACCCCUUCCGUGCUGCAGCUAACGCAUUAAGCGCCCCGCCUGGGGAGUACGGCCGCAAGGCUA